AGGCAGGCGGAAUUCGUGGUGUAGCGGUGAAAUGCUUAGAUAUCACGAAGAACCCCGAUUGUGAAGGCAGCUUGCCAGGCCUGGACUGACGUUGAGGCUCGAAGGUGCGGGUAUCGAACAGGAUUAGAUACCCUGGUAGUCCGCACGGUAAACGAUGGAUACUCGCUGUCGGCGAUACACGGUCGGCGGCCAAGCGAAAGCGUUAAGUAUCCCACCUGGGGAGUACGCCGGCAACGGUGAAACUCAAAGGAAUUGACGGGGGCCCGCACAAGCGGAGGAACAUGUGGUUUAAUUCGAUGAUACGCGAGGAACCUUACCCGGGCUUGAACUGUGCCUGACAGCCUCAGAGAUGGGGCUUCCAGCAAUGGCAGGCAUGGAGGUGCUGCAUGGUUGUCGUCAGCUCGUGCCGUGAGGUGUCGGCUUAAGUGCCAUAACGAGCGCAACCCCUCCCGCCAGUUGCCAUCAGGUAAAGCUGGGCACUCUGGGGGCACUGCCACCGCAAGGUGUGAGGAAGGUGGGGAUGACGUCAAAUCAGCACGGCCCUUACGUCCGGGGCUACACACGUGUUACAAUGGGAGGUCACAGAGGGCUGCUACCCGGCGACGGGACGCCAAUCCCCAAACCCUCCCUCAGUACGGACUGGAGUCUGCAACCCGACUCCACGAAGCUGGAUUCGCUAGUAAUCGCGCAUCAGCCACGGCGCGGUGAAUACGUUCCCGGGCCUUGUACACACCGCCCGUCAAGCCAUGAAANNNNNNNGUGCCUGAAGUGCGUAACCGCAAGGGGCGCCCUAGGGUAAAGCCGGUGAUUGAGGGUAAGUCGUAACAAGGUAACCA
rnacentral:rRNA from 1 species